rnacentral:misc_RNA from 1 species
AACGCACAUUGCGCCCGCCGGUAUUCUGGCGGGCAUGCCUGUUCGAGCGUCAUUUCAACCCUCGGGUCCGUCCCGGUGUUGGGGCUCUGUGCGCUACAGACCCCGAAAGACAGUGGCGGAGCCGCCUAGCUCUCAGCGCAGUAAAGUUUUCUCGCUGGGGGGCGACAGCGGUCGCUUGCCGUUAAACAAACCACUAUUUUAUCUGUUUGACCUCGGAUCAGGUAGGAAUACCCGCUGAACUUAA